AACUGGGUCUACACCUUGCAGCCUGAGCACAUCUUUUACAAAAGGAAACAUAUUCCUGAAGCAUUUAGCAAGUAGAUUGGAGAGGAUGGGAUAUAUUCAAGUAAGGCCCCAGUUUUGCAGGGGAAAUAGAAAAGAGCUGCAGCACCUGUGAUGCUGGGUCUGAGACUGCUCCGGGGCUCCCAGCACAGCUGGCUCAAAUCAACACUUCUUUCUCCCCCCACACCUGCUUCGUGGCAGAAAAUGAAGCAAGUUCCACCUUUUCACUAAAGCUUUUGUUUUUUGGCAGCACAACCUGGCAAUACAGAAGUCUUUCUGCAGUUUGGAAAUCAGUGUCCUAGCACAAGGAACUGUUGUGGUUAUCACAAAAGUGGAUUUUUUUGGUGGUUUCUUUCAUGUUGGUUUGUUGAAGACCUGAAUGAAUCUUAUAAGAAAUGUUUUUAAAAGUUUUCAGAGUUUCCCUUGAGACAAAAGGGCAGAGCCAGCCCCCAGGAGCAUCUGCCGGGCUCUGGAGCUGGAGGGAUGCUGCCUCCUGCCAUGAGGAUUAAGAAGUGCUUUUGUGGGAAAAUGUCUGUGUUCAGUAGGAGAAAUGCUUCAGCCUUUUAAAGGCCCCAUGCAAACCAAGCAGAGCAUCCAGCUGCCCAAGCAGAAGGCAGGAGCUAAGCGGGCGAUAGCAAGAUCGCACCCAACCACCCAGGAAUCAAAUGCAGGAGCCCACAGGCAGCACGGCUGCCUCUGCCCCUGUAUCACCCUUUCCUCUGCCCUGCACCUGUCUUGUCUGCAUUGCCUGCUCCUCUGCUCAUGCAGUGCCUUAGGCAGUACUCUAAUAAACAGAAAAAGAUAAUAAUGUCCCCCCUUCCCCAGCCACAAAAGCCAGCCUUGCACCCAUAACAUCAGCCCCCAACCCUCUCGAGCACCAUCUCUUUUACUGCAGGGGGAAGGGAGCUGAUUGCUGGCCCUGAUGGCAACCAGCUGUGUUCCUCCCUCUAGCCAAAAACCUGGUUAACCCCUUCCCUGCCAACAGAUCCCUCUGACCCCUUGCAGAUACUAAUCAUCUUUCUCUCCUGCCAUCCUGGUCUGCCAUCUCAUGAGUCACUUGGAAACAGCAAGCAAAAUUCAAGAAUGCAGAGAGGAAUGUGCUGGGAGCUGAAUACGGCACUUUAAGCUCCUCUUGCUGCAGAGGUUAACCGGGAAGCCUUGACAGACAGAUCCCAACCCCACACAUCCCACCAGCAGCUUUGGUUUGGACAAACUAACGUCUUCUGAUAUCACCAAAGACCAUUGGAAACCACUCGGCCAACUUUCCUUCUCAGCACAUCUACUUCCCCUUGCUGGCUUUAUGGGAGGGCAGAGAAGACUUUUUUUGCCCUAAAUGACAGUUCUGCAAUACCCCUGCCAGUCUGGUGGUUGCUGCAGGCUUCAGCUUUCCCUCGAGACCCUGAGGUGGGUUGACUGCACCUUAUAAAGCGAAGGCAGAGAGGAUCAUCUGCUGAGAUCCGUAGCAGGAUGUGAUCCCAGUCAAGCCUCAGCAGGGGAGUGACAAUAUCAGUUGGAAGAGCUUGCCCAUCGCUGCUUUGAGCCCCGAACCUUUCGGGUGCUGCACCCCUGAAGCUGGGGAGGACCUGCGGAGGCGCAGACAGACAACGCGGGCUCUGUCGGCCCUAUGCUCUUGCUCUUUCUACCUCUGCCGGGGGAACAGAGGAGACAGCCGGAGUGCCGUGGCAGGCAUUUGGGACUCAAGCUGGCUCUGGAUGAAUAGAGAUACGGGGGGCUUUGCAUUUAAUAUUUUAAAGCGAGAGGGAGCGGCGCAGCAUGCAGCGCUCGGCUCAACGGGAACAACAUGUUAUUUACAGGUUGCUGGGCUCUCGCCUCGGGGCCCGUAUUUCUCUUUCCCUCUUGAGGGACGCACUCCAGGCUCCGGCGGCAAUGAGGAACAGGCCAUGGGGAGGAUGCUGGCAGCUGGGAGCACAAGUGCAGGACAUAAAUUAGGGCUCCGUCUGCUUCCCGAGCUCUCUCGGGGAUUUAGCUAGCCAGUUCCCAUACACAGGGGAGGGACGCAAAGAUCCAGGUCGCUCAGUUGGGGUAGGGGAUGGGAAAAUCCCACCCUAAAGCCAGCAGGGCCAGAGUCCAUAACCCGGUCCUUUGAGGGUCAGGCAUCCAAGUCAGUCCUUGCACCCCAUGGGGCAAACAGCCUGGCAGGGCCCAAAUUUCUCUUAGUGGUGGAGUUUCCUCCAGACCAGCUACGGCUCGGGCUGGGGAGGCUUCUGCGCGGAGAGAAGAAAGUAGACACAAAUGCAGGCGCUUUACCUCCUGCGGCUCCAGCAAAGCGUCGGAGAAGCCGAUGCCUGGCGGAGCGCUGCGCAGGCAGGAGCAGGCAUUCAGAAGUGGAGAAAGACUUCAUUUUAAAGCUUUUAAGGGAGGAUUGAGAAGAAUGGAAAGGGGCUUUGCUUUUUUUUCAUUAAACAGAGCUUUUAAAAUAAAUAGCUGACAAUGUC